rnacentral:rRNA from 1 species
CCUACGGGAGGCAGCAGUGGGGAAUAUUGCACAAUGGGGGAAACCCUGAUGCAGCGACGCCGCGUGAAGGAAGAAGUAUUUCGGUAUGUAAACUUCUAUUAGCAGGGAAGAAAAUGACGGUACCUGACUAAGAAGCCACGGCCAACUACGUGCCAGCAGCCGCGGUACUACGUAGGGUGCAAGCGUUAUCCGGAUUUACUGGGUGUAAAGGGAGCGUAGGCGGGUAUGCAAGUCGGAAGUGAAAGCCCUGGGCUCAACUCCGGGACUGCUUUGGAAACUGUGUUGCUAGAUUGCAUGAGAGGUAAGUGGAAUUCCUGGUGUAGCGGUGAAAUGCGUAGAUAUUAGGAGGAACACCAGUGGCGAAGGCAGCUUACUGGACUGUAAAUGACGCUGAGGCUCGAAGGCGUGGGGAGCAAACAGGAUUAGAUACCCUUGUAGUC